rnacentral:rRNA from 1 species
CGGAUCGCAGGCUGCAACCCGCCUGCGUGAAGUUGGAAUCGCUAGUAAUCGCGGAUCAGCAUGCCGCGGUGAAUACGUUCCCGGGCCUUGUACACACCGCCCGUCACACCAUGAGAGUCGGGAACACCCGAAGUCCGUAGCCUAACAGCAAUGAGGGCGCGGCCGAAGGUGGGUUCGAUAAUUGGGGUGAAGUCGUAACAAGGUAUC